rnacentral:misc_RNA from 1 species
GUUUAUUGAGCAGCUUGGAGUACUCGGGCAGAAGAUGGGAUUGGGAAUCACUAUAGCAGUCCCAAACCAUUGAUAGGCAUACUACUGGUUUAUCCACCAUUUGUGUUUCUAUAUCACUGUUGUUCACUUUACUCAGCCACCUAGCCAGUCACUCGAAAAGCUUACGUUGAACCUAAUAGUGUGUAAUGUUGAUAGCGCUAGACUUAUAGUAUUCGAUAGUGAGGCGUACUGGUCUUUAAA